rnacentral:rRNA from 1 species
UACGUAGGGAGCAAGCGUUGUCCGGAAUCAUUGGGCGUAAAGCGCGCGUAGGCGGCCCUGUAAGUCCGCUGUGAAAGUCAAAGGCUCAACCUUUGAAAGCCGGUGGAUACUGCAGGGCUAGAGUCCGGAAGAGGCGACUGGAAUUCCCAGUGGUAGCGGUGAAAUGCGUAGAUAUUGGGAAGGAACACCAGAUGCGAAGGCGGGUCACUGGGCUGAUGACUGACGUGAAGUGCGAAAGCCAGGGGAGCGAACGGGA